AUACGGAGGAUGCGAGCGUUAUCCGGAUUUAUUGGGUUUAAAGGGAGCGUAGGUGGGAUAUUAAGUCAGCUGUGAAAGUUUGGGGCUCAACCGUAAAAUUGCAGUUGAAACUGGCAGUCUUGAGUACAGUAGAGGUGGGCGGAAUUCGUGGUGUAGCGGGGAAAUGCUUAGAUAUCACGAAGAACUCCGAUUGCGAAGGCAGCUCACUAGACUGUUACUGACACUGAUGCUCGAAAGUGUGGGUAUCAAACAGGAUUAGAUACCCUGGUAGUCCACACAGUAAACGAUGAAUACUCGCUGUUUGCGAUAUACAGUAAGCGGCCAAGCGAAAGCAUUAAGUAUUCCACCUGGGGAGUACGCCGGCAACGGUGAAACUUAAAGGAAUCGACGGGG
rnacentral:rRNA from 1 species